CCAUGCACCGAAGCUGCGGCAGCGACGCUUAUGCGUUGUUGGGUAGGGGAGCGUUCUGUAAGCCUGCGAAGGUGGCCUGUGAGGGCUGCUGGAGGUAUCAGAAGUGCGAAUGCUGACAUAAGUAACGAUAAAGCGGGUGAAAAGCCCGCUCGCCGGAAGACCAAGGGUUCCUGUCCAACGUUAAUCGGGGCAGGGUGAGUCGACCCCUAAGGCGAGGCCGAAAGGCGUAGUCGAUGGGAAACAGGUUAAUAUUCCUGUACUUGGUGUUACUGCGAAGGGGGGACGGAGAAGGCUAUGUUAGCCGGGCGACGGUUGUCCCGGUUUAAGCAUGUAGGCGGAGGUUCCAGGUAAAUCCGGUACCUUUUAACGCUGAGGUGUGAUGACGAGGCACUACGGUGCUGAAGUAACAAAUGCCCUGCUUCCAGGAAAAGCCUCUAAGCAUCAGGUAACAUCAAAUCGUACCCCAAACCGACACAGGUGGUCAGGUAGAGAAUACCAAGGCGCUUGAGAGAACUCGGGUGAAGGAACUAGGCAAAAUGGUGCCGUAACUUCGGGAGAAGGCACGCUGGUGUGUAGGUGAAGUCCCUGCGGAUGGAGCUGAGACCAGUCGAAGAUACCAGCUGGCUGCAACUGUUUAUUAAAAACACAGCACUGUGCAAACACGAAAGUGGACGUAUACGGUGUGACGCCUGCCCGGUGCCGGAAGGUUAAUUGAUGGGGUUAUCCGUAAGGAGAAGCUCUUGAUCGAAGCCCCGGUAAACGGCGGCCGUAACUAUAACGGUCCUAAGGUAGCGAAAUUCCUUGUCGGGUAAGUUCCGACCUGCACGAAUGGCGUAAUGAUGGCCAGGCUGUCUCCACCCGAGACUCAGUGAAAUUGAACUCGCUGUGAAGAUGCAGUGUACCCGCGGCAAGACGGAAAGACCCCGUGAACCUUUACUAUAGCUUGACACUGAACAUUGAGCCUUGAUGUGUAGGAUAGGUGGGAGGCUUUGAAGCGUGGACGCCAGUCUGCGUGGAGCCAACCUUGAAAUACCACCCUUUAAUNUGCUGGAGGUAUCAGAAGUGCGAAUGCUGACAUAAGUAACGAUAAAGCGGGUGAAAAGCCCGCUCGCCGGAAGACCAAGGGUUCCUGUCCAACGUUAAUCGGGGCAGGGUGAGUCGACCCCUAAGGCGAGGCCGAAAGGCGUAGUCGAUGGGAAACAGGUUAAUAUUCCUGUACUUGGUGUUACUGCGAAGGGGGGACGGAGAAGGCUAUGUUAGCCGGGCGACGGUUGUCCCGGUUUAAGCAUGUAGGCUGGUUAUCCAGGCAAAUCCGGAUAAUCAAGGCUGAGGUGUGAUGACGAGGCACUACGGUGCUGAAGUAACAAAUGCCCUGCUUCCAGGAAAAGCCUCUAAGCAUCAGGUAACAUCAAAUCGUACCCCAAACCGACACAGGUGGUCAGGUAGAGAAUACCAAGGCGCUUGAGAGAACUCGGGUGAAGGAACUAGGCAAAAUGGUGCCGUAACUUCGGGAGAAGGCACGCUGGUGUGUAGGUGAAGUCCCUGCGGAUGGAGCUGAGACCAGUCGAAGAUACCAGCUGGCUGCAACUGUUUAUUAAAAACACAGCACUGUGCAAACACGAAAGUGGACGUAUACGGUGUGACGCCUGCCCGGUGCCGGAAGGUUAAUUGAUGGGGUUAUCCGUAAGGAGAAGCUCUUGAUCGAAGCCCCGGUAAACGGCGGCCGUAACUAUAACGGUCCUAAGGUAGCGAAAUUCCUUGUCGGGUAAGUUCCGACCUGCACGAAUGGCGUAAUGAUGGCCAGGCUGUCUCCACCCGAGACUCAGUGAAAUUGAACUCGCUGUGAAGAUGCAGUGUACCCGCGGCAAGACGGAAAGACCCCGUGAACCUUUACUAUAGCUUGACACUGAACAUUGAGCCUUGAUGUGUAGGAUAGGUGGGAGGCUUUGAAGCGUGGACGCCAGUCUGCGUGGAGCCAACCUUGAAAUACCACCCUUUAAUGUUUGAUGUUCUAACGUUGGCCCCUNACCGGGGUUGCGGACAGUGUCUGGUGGGUAGUUUGACUGGGGCGGUCUCCUCCCAAAGCGUAACGGAGGAGCACGAAGGUUAGCUAAUCCUGGUCGGACAUCAGGAGGUUAGUGCAAUGGCAUAAGCUAGCUUGACUGCGAGCGUGACGGCGCGAGCAGGUGCGAAAGCAGGUCAUAGUGAUCCGGUGGUUCUGAAUGGAAGGGCCAUCGCUCAACGGAUAAAAGGUACUCCGGGGAUAACAGGCUGAUACCGCCCAAGAGUUCAUAUCGACGGCGGUGUUUGGCACCUCGAUGUCGGCUCAUCACAUCCUGGGGCUGAAGUAGGUCCCAAGGGUAUGGCUGUUCGCCAUUUAAAGUGGUACGCGAGCUGGGUUUAGAACGUCGUGAGACAGUUCGGUCCCUAUCUGCCGUGGGCGCUGGAGAAUUGAGGGGGGCUGCUCCUAGUACGAGAGGACCGGAGUGGACGCAUCACUGGUGUUCGGGUUGUCAUGCCAAUGGCACUGCCCGGUAGCUAAAUGCGGAAGAGAUAAGUGCUGAAAGCAUCUAAGCACGAAACUUGCCCCGAGAUGAGUUCUCCCUGAGACUUUAAGUCUCCUGAAGGAACGUUAAAGACGAUGACGUUGAUAGGCCGGGUGUGUAAGCGCAGCGAUGCGUUGAGCUAACCGGUACUAAUGAACCGUGAGGCUUAACCUU
rnacentral:rRNA from 1 species